UUUAUUUUUUGUCUCAGGAAUUACGAAGAAGAGGAACACAGCAACUAAGGAGCACUCCGUUAAGAACACCACAAAACAAUACUGCUUCAGCCCAUUCUGAAAAUAAAAUUUGAUUGCAACGUAUUUCAAGUAUAACAGCAUUAAAAUAAAGCCCAACUGUCUUACUGAGAAGCAAAGUUCAACCAAGAAGAAAGGACUGUCACACAGAUUCCCUGCUGCAUGCUGUUCCUGGCGUGUUGUGCUCUCAGGUGCUAAAACUGAAAAUACAGAGCUAGAAAUGGGAGCUUGUAUUGUUUUUUCCUAAUAAUCUUCAUGAUCACAGAACCCUCUGUGAGUUUAGUGAGCUCUUGCAGAAGGUGUGUACCACUAGCCCCAUGUACUUCUACUACUUUACUUUGACAUGAAAACACAAAGCACUAUUAAAAAACGUUAUUUGAAUCUCA